GAGAAUGACCAACAUUGGAUAUCACCCAUAAUUUAUUUUGGUUGUAGAAUGAAAUUUCCCCAAGACUCCACAAGCAUGAAAAGAAAGCCCCAGAGUUGCUAGCAUAUUCCUCGCUGACGCCUUCCAAUCAUAUGUGAAGUGGCUUUCACUUAGAUCCCUUUAGCUAAAGGAUGUUUGUCCUUGAGAACAGACCAAGGGAAAUAUGGAGCUGCAAGUAUGAAAUAUUGUAAAUGCUACUCCAGCUACACAAAGCCAAGCAGCUUAAUUUAAAUCACCAGGGCUAUACUUGAUCCAAACAGGGCAUACACUAUGCUACAGAUGUGUAUAGGUGUUUUACUAAUUUAUUUCCCUUCCUGUUCAAGUUUUAAUUUUGUGGUGUAGAUAAGACUCUAAAUUCCAUAAUAUAAUCCAGUCCUCUCUGCCCCUAUUUCUCUCCCUGCAUAACCUGAGGAAUUGAAGGCUAAAAGGCCCCUCCAUCAUUGCCCUAUUCUGCUUAGUACAGAGCUGAGUCGGAAGAACCAAGGAAAGCUUACUUUUUCAGAAUAUUGUGGGGUGGUUUUUUUUGUUCUCUUAUAAGUCCUGGUGAGCUGCUGUGUGCACUUGUCUUGUCCUUUUCCUCAUCCGGAAAGCAUAGCAUGCUCAGCAUUAACCUAGUUAUAGAGUCUUCUAGACUGGAGUGGAGUGGAAUAUAAAUCAUACGGCUCGGGAGUUUUGUUUCGUGCACCUUUUCAAAAUGACGGAGCCUGCUUGCUGCUUGUUGCCGUUCAGAGUGGUGGGGAGGGGGGAGAGAAAGAGAAGAUACUAACUACCUCUCAGCAUCAGUGUCCUUAUAAAUAUGCAAACUCUCCCUUUCUUUGCCUAAAGAGGAAGUGAUUUAUUGACUAUAUUGGAUGGGAAGUGCCUCCAUUGCUUUCUGCUGCUCUGCGAUGGCAAAGAUAAUAUUUCGGUUACUUCUGCAGCAUCUCAGCCUGGGGUGAAAGUAAACAUGAGCACAAUUGAUUUCCAAAAGAGUCCUGGGUCCCCCACUUUUCUCUCUCCUCUGCACUGCACUGUGUUACAAGUGGAACGGCGAACGAAUCAGGCUCCCAAUUAAAAAAGUAGUGGAGGCUCGCACCUUCUCAGAUCAGAAGUUUCUGCUAGGCUGUGAACACUAGCAAAGCUCUAUGGGUAACAGUCUAAUUAUUUGAUUUUUUUGUUGGUGCUGCUGUGGACUUGAAACAGUUCACAGCUAUGGGAGCAAUGGCUGGCAGCCUAUUAAGGACAUAAGACGAGCCCAGCCAGACCAAAAGCUGAUCUAGUCUGGGAUCCUGUUGCGUGGCCAAUUGGAUGUUUCUAGGAAGCCCCCAAGCAGGACAUAAAGGCAAUAGUCCUAUCCUGCUGCUGUUCCCAAGAAACUGGUACCCAGGAUGCUGCUGACUGCACCUGGAGGUUGCAUAUAGGCAUCCUGACGAGUGAUGGAUUUGUCUUAAUCCCCCUUUUAAAGCCAUCUAAGCUGGUUGCUUAGAGAUAAUAAGGGGACAGGGAGCAUCUUUGUUCCAAACGUUCCGGCUGGAGCUCUGUCCUUGCAUCUGGUGUCAAGUUUGCUGAAAAUGCAGAGGAUAGACAGGGUUCGAGGGUUUGGGGAACAAAUAUCUUGUUCUCAUCCUGCCCAUCAAACUGAUGAGAAGCUUAAUCGUUAAUAUUUUAACUGGUUUUAUUUUUGAGAAUUAAUCAACCCAUGGCACAUUCUGUUAUUGCAUUUCUAUGGCGCUGUGGGUUAAACCACUGAGCCUAGGGCUUGCCAAUCAGAAGGUCAGCAGUUCGAAUCCCCGCUACGGGUUAAGCUCCUGUUGCUCGAUCCCUGCUCCUGCCAACCUAGCAGUUUGAAAUCGAAGUGCAAGUAGAUAAAUAGGUACCGCUCCGGGGGGAAGGUAAACGGCAUUUCCGUGUGCUGCUCUGGUUCGCUAGAAGCGGCUUAGUUAUGUUGGCCACAUGACCCGGAAGCUGUACACCGGCUCCCUCGGCCCAUAAAGCCAGAUGUGUGCCGCAACCCCAGAGUCGUCCGUGACUGGACCUAAUGGUCAGGGGUCCCUUUACCUUUACCUAUGCCCCCUGUUAAAGGUACCUUCGCUAAUAUGGUGCCCUUCGUAUAUUCUGAACCAUGUCUCUAGCCAUCCCUGACCCUUGGGCCAUACUGGCUGGGGCAGAGGGCACUCUGUUGGAGAAGCCUGUUUGAAGGUGUCCGAGGAAGUUUACAACUUUAGAAACGAAAAGUAUGAAAAGCAUAAGAAAACAGCAAGCAGGCUUGUCACCAUGUCUGCUUUGGGUGAGGAUGACAUUGAGCCCUGUUUUCCUCAUCCUUCCUUGAAAUUUCACUUUGUAUGUUUUAGUAUAAUUGAAAAUGUGUCCCUUCUCUUUGAUGAUGGAAAAGCUAAUGUUCUGAUCCCUCCAUGAAGUAAAAUGUCUGUAGGCCAUUUUAGCUUAGGUGGCUAAUAUGAAAUUCUGCGUUGGGGUUUUUCAUACUUUUUUUUUUAAGUGAAAUGAUAGCACUGUGGGCGAGAAUAGAGAAAGGUAUCUAAUGGUGCCUCAAUGGCUCGGUAUGUUCCCUCAUGUGCCAUUUCCCCUCAUGGAUCUCUGCCGCAUCCCCAUGAAGGACAAUGAAGCCUUGAACUUUCAUCUACAGAAUGGGACAGUUCACCCGCCAGGAUUUGAGGCCGUUUCCGCAAUUUAAUUCAUUCCCAGCGCUAGAAUGGUCCUUAACAAGAACGGCAUAUUUUAACUUUAACUUUUUCCAGCUUUCCAUUGUUAAAGAAAGCGUAGGAGUUCUUUAUGAGGCGGUCAGCAGCCACCUUCUGAGCAGGAACCUGCGAGGAGUUGGGAAGCCAUGUUUGAUAGAACGCUUCACAGAAAUGGCUGGUGAUGAUAUUCAAAACAUUGCUCAGACGAAAUCCAGAGCUCAUUAAAAAGGGGGCAUUAUGCUUGGGAGGCAAGCCCAAGGCAGCCUCAGGUUUGAUUAGGACUACCUUGUGCUCUGAUAUAAGUGAAAUCUCUUAAUUUUCCAAAAGAAUAUGGGGCCGGCCUGAUCUGUGGAAAUUUAAUUGGGAACGCCUGGAGAACAGGACACGAAUCGUCUUUGGGAAUGUCCAGAAGGCAUAGUGUCUACAAGAUGGAUCCAGAUACGUGAGUGGUUAGGAGGAAAAACUGAGACGUCAGAUGGUCUUCAUAAUGCUUCCCCUCCUGAGUGCCUGUGGAAGCAUUGAUGAAGCCUGUAAGCAGUUGCCAAGGCCUGGAAAUCUAUUGUAUAUUUCAUCUUAUACCCUGUGAUGGUAAAAAUAGUAAAAAAAGAAAAAAGCUCAAUGUAGGAGCAUCCCGACCCCCACCUUGCCUUAGAGAUUUCCUCAUAAAAACCUGCACUUUAGUGCUCAGUCGGCUCCAUGGAUUGCUGUUUGCUCUGAAGGAGCUCAAAAGAGUGGGUUUUCUUGAAGAAAGCUCCAGAGCAAAAAUAGAAGGAGGUUUAAAUUGGGGACCGUGCCUAGAAAGAGCGGAUGGAAGGUAAGUGCAGAUAAGCCCCAUAUUCAACCAAUUUCACUGGUCACUAAGGGCGGUAUGAUUGUCAGACUGAUGAUUAUCGGCUUAUGGUAACUCGGGGGCAGGCUUUCUCACUGUGGCACCAGUGUUGUGAAAGGCUCUCCCUGCCAAAAUAUGAGAAGCCCCAUCAGUACUGGCAUGCUGCCGGCUCCUGAAGGCACACCUGUUUAGGCAACCAUUCCCCUAAACUGGACUUUUGGUUUUGUUCUUUUAACCUUUGAAAGCGGUUUUAAUUGUUAUGCUUUUUGAUUCUUUGUUUCAUUGCCUUAAUUAGGGAUGUUUUAAUGCCACUGUGUAUUUUAAUGGUGAAUUGCUUUUAUAGAUCUCUUAGAAGCUGUUUUCACAUUUGUUAUUAUUAUUAGUAGUAAUACUAAUACCUCGGGUUAAGUACUUAAUUCGUUCUGGAGGUCCGUUCUUAACCUGAAACUGUUCUUAACCUGAAGCACCACUUUAGCUAAUGGGGCCUCCUGCUGCCGCCACGCCACUGGAACACAAUUUCUGUCCUCAUCCUGAAGCAAAGUUCUUAACCUGAGGUAAUAUUUCUGGGUUAGCGGAGUCUGUAACCUGAAGCGUCUGUAUCCCGAGGUACCACUGUAGUAGUAGUAGUAUACUGUCCUAUACCCAUAGAUCUCAGGGUGGUUCACAUCACAAAAUCAC